rnacentral:tRNA from 1 species
GCGGAGGUAGCCAAGCGGCCUACGGCGCCGGUCUUGAAAACCGGUGGUGCAUCACCUCGAGGGUUCAAAUCCCUUCCUCCGCG